GUCGUACGCUUCUUUUUCCACCGGAGCUUGCUCCACCGGAAAAAGAAGAGUGGCGAACGGGUGAGUAACACGUGGGUAACCUGCCCAUCAGAAGGGGAUAACACUUGGAAACAGGUGCUAAUACCGUAUAACAAUCGAAACCGCAUGGUUUUGAUUUGAAAGGCGCUUUCGGGUGUCGCUGAUGGAUGGACCCGCGGUGCAUUAGCUAGUUGGUGAGGUAACGGCUCACCAAGGCCACGAUGCAUAGCCGACCUGAGAGGGUGAUCGGCCACAUUGGGACUGAGACACGGCCCAAACUCCUACGGGAGGCAGCAGUAGGGAAUCUUCGGCAAUGGACGAAAGUCUGACCGAGCAACGCCGCGUGAGUGAAGAAGGUUUUCGGAUCGUAAAACUCUGUUGUUAGAGAAGAACAAGGAUGAGAGUAACUGUUCAUCCCUUGACGGUAUCUAACCAGAAAGCCACGGCUAACUACGUGCCAGCAGCCGCGGUAAUACGUAGGUGGCAAGCGUUGUCCGGAUUUAUUGGGCGUAAAGCGAGCGCAGGCGGUUUCUUAAGUCUGAUGUGAAAGCCCCCGGCUCAACCGGGGAGGGUCAUUGGAAACUGGGAGACUUGAGUGCAGAAGAGGAGAGUGGAAUUCCAUGUGUAGCGGUGAAAUGCGUAGAUAUAUGGAGGAACACCAGUGGCGAAGGCGGCUCUCUGGUCUGUAACUGACGCUUAAGCUCGAAAGCGUGGGGAGCAAACAGGAUUAGAUACCCCGGGGUAGUCCACGCCGUAAACGAUGAGUGCUAAGUGUUGGAGGGUUUCCCCCCUUCAUUGCUGCAGCUAACGCAUUAAGCACUCCGCCUGGGGGAGUACGACCGCAAGGUUGAAACUCAAAGGAAUUGACGGGGGCCCGCACAAGCGGUGGAGCAUGUGGUUUAAUUCGAAGCAACGCGAAGAACCUUACCAGGUCUUGACAUCCUUUGACC
rnacentral:rRNA from 1 species